UCAUUGUCAAGAGGGAAAUAGCCCAGAUCACCAGUUAAGGCCCCUAAAUAAUUACUAAGUGGCAAAGGAUGUAAUAGUGCAUAGACAACCAGGAGGUUUGCUUAGAAGCAGCCACCCUUUAAAAAUAGCGUAAUAGCUUACUGGUCAAGUGCUUUUGCGCCGAAAAUGAACGGGACUAAGUAAUUUGCCGAAACUGUGAGAUAAAUAAAAUCGGUAGAAGAGCGUUCUGUUUGGAGGGAAGUAAUAAUGAAAACAGUUAUGGACUGGACAGAAGUGAGAAUGUCGGCUUAAGUAACGAAAACAUUGGUGGAAAUCCAAUGCCCCGAAAACCUAAGGAUUCCUUCGCAAGGUUCGUCCACGAAGGGUUAGUCAGGGCCUAAGAUGAGGUUUAAAAACGUAGUUGAUGGACAACAGGUUAAUAUUCCUGUACUGUAUUUAAUUUAUUAAGAGUGACGAAAAAGGCUAUGUCAGCCAAAUAUUGGUUUUUGGUUCAAUUUUUCAAGGUUUUGAGAAGCAUAAUAAAAAAUGCUUUGAGCUAAGAAAGAGAGUAGGAGCGAUGCUACGGUGUCAAAACUGAUUUAUGUCAUGUUUCCAAGAAAAGCUCUCAUAAUUUAUAUUUAAAUACACCUGUACCUUAAACUGACACAGGUAGGUUAGUAGAGAAUACUAAGGGGCGCGAGAUAACUCUUUCUAAGGAACUCGGCAAAAUGACUCUGUAACUUCGGGAGAAAGAGUGCCUUAUUUUGUAAGGCCACAGUAACAAGAUCCAAGCGACUGUUUACCAAAAACACAGGUCUCCGCUAAGUUGAAAAACUAUGUAUGGGGGCUGACGCCUGCCCAGUGCCGGAAGGUUAAAGAAAUUGGUUAACUUCGGUGAAGCUAGUGACUGAAGCCUUGGUGAACGGCAGCUGUAACUAUAACGGUUCUAAGGUAGCGAAAUUCCUUGUCGGGUAAGUUCCGACCCGCACGAAAGGCGUAACGAUUUGGAUACUGUCUCAGAAAGAGACUCGGUGAAAUAGAAUUGACUGUGAAGAUGCGGUCUACUUGCACUUGGACAGAAAGACCCUAUGAAGCUUUACUGUAACUUGAAAUUGGUUUUGGGCUUUCCUUGCGCAGUAUAGGUGGGAGGCUAUGAUCCUCUUUUUCGGAAGUAGGUGAGCCAUAAUAUGAGAUACCACUCUGGGAAAGUUAAAAAUCUAAUAGUAUUUUCAUCAAAGUACUUGACAGUUUCAGGCGGGCAGUUUUACUGGGGCGGUAGCCUCCUAAAAAGUAACGGAGGCGUACAAAGGUUUUCUCAGUCUGGACGGAAAUUAGUUGCAGAGUAUAAAGAUAUAAGAAAGCUUGACUGCGAGACUUACAAGUCGAGCAGAGACUAAAGUCGGUCUUAGUGAUCCGACGGUGCUGUGUGGAAAGGCCGUCGCUCAACGGAUAAAAGUUACUCUAGGGAUAACAGGCUGAUCUCCCCCAAGAGUUCACAUCGACGGGGAGGUUUGGCACCUCGAUGUCGGCUCAUCGCAACCUGGGGCGGAAGUACGUCCCAAGGGUUGGGCUGUUCGCCCAUUAAAGCGGUACGUGAGCUGGGUUCAGAACGUCGAGAGACAGUUCGGUCCAUAUCCGGUGUGAGUGUUAGAGUAUUGAAAGGAGCUUUCCUUAGUACGAGAGGACCGGGAAGGACACACCACUGAUGUACCAGUUUUUGUGCCAACGGAAAACGCUGGGUAGUCAAGUGUGGAGUGGAUAACUGCUGAAAGCAUA
rnacentral:rRNA from 1 species